UGCUCGUCCAUCUCCUCCUCAUCGACCAAAUCGUCCAGGAUUCCUCAUCCACCGCCGCGCCCAAGUUUCAGUGCGCCAUCUACUCGGCUCCUACCCCAAUGUUGUUGAGUUCAGGUCACAACAUUGUGAUCUCCUUUUUCUUCGAGAAGAAUCCAUCCAAUGCUCUGAUCUAGAAAAGGCAACAAAAGUAGUUUCAUUCGUCCAUGGAUACUUGGUCCGGCCUCUCGAGAAAGGGCUAUACUAUAUAUGCUGCAAUAUGCACUUGCCGCCCUGUACGAAUUCAAGCAAUCAGCACUAUGAUUAUUCCGUCUGUACACAAUUGCCUUUGCUUUCUCAACCAUGGGUACAGUUUCUCUCAUCUUUUCUGGAGAUCCCACACUAUUCCUUCGGAGCAGGAAGUGCACUUUUGAAAGGUGUUAGCAUGCUUCAUAAUUGCCUAUGCACCUGGUACCUAUAUGAUGUUAGUAUCAGUUGCUCCUGUGACUGCCAUGGGGGUCUCUCUCAUCAGUUUACUCAUAGUGUUCAAUCCAAUUUGGGAAUUUAAAAUCAAGGGUAUUGUUCUGUUAGUGGCAUUCUGCAAGAGAAAGGGGAUAUGGUAUGGGGUAGUCAUCAUGGCAAACCCAAUUGCAGCCUUAUUGUCUGUGACAUUCGUGUCCCUUAUUCUACUUCUACUACUGGACUUGUCGUUGGUCUCGAUGAGUCAUCUGGUGGCAAAGUGGAACCACGUACCAGCACAACCACCGACACCAUUCAUAGAAACAACUAGAGUGACAUUGUGGGUGCGUGGAGGUGGUUUCAU